rnacentral:lncRNA from 1 species
AUUAAGACAGCAGGACGGUGGUCAUGGAAGUCGAAAUCCGCUAAGGAGUGUGUAACAACUCACCUGCCGAAUCAACUAGCCCCGAAAAUGGAUGGCGCUUAAGCGCGCGACCUACACCCGGCCGUCGAGGCAAGUGCCAGGCCCCGAUGAGUAGGAGGGCGCGGCGGUCGCUGCAAAACCUUGGGCGUGAGCCCGGGCGGAGCGGCCGUCGGUGCGGAUCUUGGGGGUAGUAGCAAAUACUCAAAUGAGAACUUUGAAGGCCGAAGAUGUGACAACUCGAAAUUCCAAGAUUUGAUUUCAUAGGUAUUACACGAACAUGUAUUGACUAAUUGCUUAAUUGCACAUUUGAUUGCCAUAUUGUGAAACU